rnacentral:tmRNA from 1 species
GGGAGCGACUUGGCUUCGACAGGAGUAAGUCUGCUUAGAUGGCAUGUCGCUUUGGGCAAAGCGUAAAAAGCCCAAAUAAAAUUAAACGCAAACAACGUUAAAUUCGCUCCUGCUUACGCUAAAGCUGCGUAAGUUCAGUUGAGCCUGAAAUUUAAGUCAUACUAUCUAGCUUAAUUUUCGGUCAUUUUUGAUAGUGUAGCCUUGCGUUUGACAAGCGUUGAGGUGAAAUAAAGUCUUAGCCUUGCUUUUGAGUUUUGGAAGAUGAGCGAAGUAGGGUGAAGUAGUCAUCUUUGCUAAGCAUGUAGAUGUCUUUGUGGGAUUAUUUUUGGACAGGGGUUCGAUUCCCCUCGCUUCCACCA